rnacentral:rRNA from 1 species
ACAAGCGGUGGAGUAUGUGGUUAAUUCGAUGCAACGCGAAGAACCUUACCUGGUCUUGACAUCCCGGAGACCCUUAGGAAACUAGGGGGUGCUUCCAUCUGGAAGAAUCUGGAGACAGGUGCUGCAUGGCUGUCGUCAGCUCGUGUCGUGAGAUGUUGGGUUAAGUCCCGCAACGAGCGCAACCCUUGCCUUUAGUUGCCAGCAGUUCGGCUGGGCACUCUAAAGGGACUGCCGGUGUUAAACCGGAGGAAGGUGGGGAUGGCGUCAAGUCCUCAUGGCCUUUAUGACCAGGGCUACACACGUACUACAAUGGCCGAUACAAAGGGCAGCGACACUGCGAGGUGAAGCCAAUCCCGUAAAAUCGGUCUCAGUCCGGAUUGGAGUCUGCAACUCGACUCCAUGAAGUUGGAAUCGCUAGUAAUCGUGGAUCAGCAUGCCACGGUGAAUACGUUCCCGGGCCUU